rnacentral:rRNA from 1 species
GAUGAACGCUGGCGGCGUGCCUAAUACAUGCAAGUCGAGCGAACGGACGAGAAGCUUGCUUCUCUGAUGUUAGCGGCGGACGGGUGAGUAACACGUGGAUAACCUACCUAUAAGACUGGGAUAACUUCGGGAAACCGGAGCUAAUACCGGAUAAUAUUUUGAACCGCAUGGUUCAAAAGUGAAAGACGGUCUUGCUGUCACUUAUAGAUGGAUCCGCGCUGCAUUAGCUAGUUGGUAAGGUAACGGCUUACCAAGGCAACGAUGCAUAGCCGACCUGAGAGGGUGAUCGGCCACACUGGAACUGAGACACGGUCCAGACUCCUACGGGAGGCAGCAGUAGGGAAUCUUCCGCAAUGGGCGAAAGCCUGACGGAGCAACGCCGCGUGAGUGAUGAAGGUCUUCGGAUCGUAAAACUCUGUUAUUAGGGAAGAACAUAUGUGUAAGUAACUGUGCACAUCUUGACGGUACCUAAUCAGAAAGCCACGGCUAACUACGUGCCAGCAGCCGCGGUAAUACGUAGGUGGCAAGCGUUAUCCGGAAUUAUUGGGCGUAAAGCGCGCGUAGGCGGUUUUUUAAGUCUGAUGUGAAAGCCCACGGCUCAACCGUGGAGGGUCAUUGGAAACUGGAAAACUUGAGUGCAGAAGAGGAAAGUGGAAUUCCAUGUGUAGCGGUGAAAUGCGCAGAGAUAUGGAGGAACACCAGUGGCGAAGGCGACUUUCUGGUCUGUAACUGACGCUGAUGUGCGAAAGCGUGGGGAUCAAACAGGAUUAGAUACCCUGGUAGUCCACGCCGUAAACGAUGAGUGCUAAGUGUUAGGGGGUUUCCGCCCCUUAGUGCUGCAGCUAACGCAUUAAGCACUCCGCCUGGGGAGUACGACCGCAAGGUUGAAACUCAAAGGAAUUGACGGGGACCCGCACAAGCGGUGGAGCAUGUGGUUUAAUUCGAAGCAACGCGAAGAACCUUACCAAGUCUUGACAUCCUUUGACAACUCUAGAGAUAGAGCCUUCCCCUUCGGGGGACAAAGUGACAGGUGGUGCAUGGUUGUCGUCAGCUCGUGUCGUGAGAUGUUGGGUUAAGUCCCGCAACGAGCGCAACCCUUAAGCUUAGUUGCCAUCAUUAAGUUGGGCACUCUAAGUUGACUGCCGGUGACAAACCGGAGGAAGGUGGGGAUGACGUCAAAUCAUCAUGCCCCUUAUGAUUUGGGCUACACACGUGCUACAAUGGACAAUACAAAGGGCAGCGAAACCGCGAGGUCAAGCAAAUCCCAUAAAGUUGUUCUCAGUUCGGAUUGUAGUCUGCAACUCGACUACAUGAAGCUGGAAUCGCUAGUAAUCGUAGAUCAGCAUGCUACGGUGAAUACGUUCCCGGGUCU